rnacentral:rRNA from 1 species
AUGCUUGACAUAGCACGUGAUGAAGGAUUUGUCCCGUCUAAUUUCCCCCCUCCCCGUCGAUGCUCGUCCUGUCGUCAUGACCGAAGUACCAGCAGUCACCUUUUAACGCACCACAAGGAAGCACCCAUGGCUUGGAGGUCCCGGUGGCUAUAUCACACACCAUCGGAACGUCCGGCCAGUCUAUCCAGUACACGCAAUCAGCUCUCACCUCUGGGACAGUGGGUUGCACCACCACCGGGCUGCCGCUUUUGCCGAGGAACACGGAGCAGCCUCCCAGAUCCUUCACCACGUCCCAGCAUGGCCAGCAUCCCGGGUCGUACCUCAGGACGAAAAUCUCAUCGGCACGUAUCCUGA